rnacentral:rRNA from 1 species
AUUGAACGCUGGCGGCAGGCCUAACACAUGCAAGUCGAACGAGUGGCGGACGGGUGAGUAAUGUCUGGGAAACUGCCUGAUGGAGGGGGAUAACUACUGGAAACGGUAGCUAAUACCGCAUACCAUCGGAUGUGCCCAGAUGGGAUUAGCUUGUAGGUGGGGUAACGGCCCACCUAGGCGACGCUCCCUAGCUGGUCUGAGAGGCAGACCAGCCACACGGGAAGUGAGACACGGUCCAGACUCCUACGGGAGGCAGCAGUGGGGAAUAUUGCACAAUGGGCGCAAGCCUGAUGCAGCCAUGCCGCGUUUAUGAAGAAGGCCUUCGGGUUGGAAAGUACUUUCAGCGGGGAGGCGUUACCCGCAGAAGAAGCACCGGCUAACUCCGUGCCAGCAGCCGCGGUAAUUC